UAGCUCAAAGGUAGAGUACUUGCCUAGCAAGUGUGAGGCCCUGGGUUCAAUCCCCAG
rnacentral:tRNA from 1 species